ensembl:lncRNA
AAAGCUGCUCAUUGAUUUAUUUAUGCGCAUUUAUGCGUCUGUUACUGCUCUAGAUCCUCGGUGCACGGCGGCGGGCUCCUGCAGCCGGCUUCCCGCCCCCGGGCAGCCGGGGGUCGCCCUCAGGGCCCAGGAGUCCGGCGGCCCCGCAAACCAGCCGGCGCUCUGACUCCCGCAUCCGCGGACCUGCUUCGGUCCUGACAAACCACUGCGGGGCCGUUGGGCUCUGGGCUCUGGGUGACACUGUGUCCCCGAACCAACCAGCGUCGAAGCGCGCUUGAGGGGGUAGAGAGGAAGUAAUAAGCUAAAUGCAACUUUUACCCGUGUUUACUCGCCCUCCCGUUGUCUCCUCCCUCGGCCGGUAACGUGAUCUGCGACCCUCUAGGUGGGAACCCCUCCCCUAGGAAUGUGGCUUUGGGCUCUGCCGAAUCCUCCCCUUUCCAGUCCCGGCUGCGUGCGCACUGUGACUUCCUGAGGCAGGGGAGCCGAGCUCUCCCCGACUUUCGCCGCCGGCGUUCGGUGGCGCGGAGCUAGCCGAGCACUCGCCCGCGCCCUCGCGCAGUGGUCCCCUUGCCCCCAGGAGUCCCUUGCCCUCAGGACAUAGUUGUAUAUUCUAGUUGUGAGUGCCUCUGAUUGUGCUAUGCGGGACGCCACCUCAGCAUGAUCUGAUGAGCGGUGCCAUGUCCACGCCCAGGAUCUGAACUGGCAAAACCCUGGGCCAUAGAAGCAGAGCGCAUGAACUUAACCACUCGGCCACAAGGCCAGCCCCUAAAGAAAGUAUUCUUCAUGGGAAAUUAGAAAAAGAACAACUAAUUAAGCACAAAGGAAGUGCAAAUAAAAGGAAACAUAGUCAAAAGUUAAUUCUUUGAAAUGACUAAUAAAAUUAAUAAGCUCUUGGUGAGACUAAUUUUUAAAAGCACAAAUAAUGCCAAAAAAUGAAAAAAGGAACAUUUCUACAGAUUUUUCGAUCAUUAGAAAGAUAAUGAGACAAUAUUAUGAACAGUUUAACGCCAAGAAGUCUGAAAAUUUGGUUGAAAUAGACAAAUUCCUUGAGAAUGCAAUUUACCAAACUGGCACAAUAGGAAACAUAACGCCUGAAUAGUCCUGUAUCUACUUUUUAAAAUUAAGCCUAUAAUUUAAAAUCUUCCUACAAAGAAAACUCCAGGCUAGAGAGCUGCACCAAUAAGUUAUAUUUAAGGAAGAAAUAGCACAAAUCUUAGACAAACUCCUACAGAAAAUAGAAAAAGGAAAUAACCCCUGACUCAUUCUACAAGGCCAACAUAACCUUGAUACCAAAACCUAACAAAAGACAUUACAAGAAAGGAAAAUGACAGACUAAUCUCACUCAUAAACCUUGAUGUAAAGCUUAUAAACAAACGACUAGCAAAGUGAAUCCAGCAAUACAUAAAGAAGAUAAUAUAUCACGACCAUGGUGGGCUUAUUCUAGGUAUUUUAGCUUGGUUUAACAUUCAAAAAUCAGUCAAUGUAAUUCGCCAUAUUAAUGGAAUAAAAAAGAGGAAUCAUGAUCAUUUUAAUAGAUACUUUAGGAAAAGCAUUGAAUAAAAUUCAGCCUCAGUUAUGAUUUUUAAAAAAUAUAUAUAUGUGCCAGCAAAGUAGGAAUAGAAAAGGAUUUUCUUAGCUUUGUAAAGGGUGUACAAAACCUUCAACAAACAUGCCAAAUAGUAUAGAUGGACAAAAACCUACAAGCAUCAUACCAAAUAGUGAAAUAUUAAAAGCUCUCCCUUUGGAUGUCUGCUUUGACCACUUCUAUUCAACGUCAUAAUGGAGGACCAAGCCAGUGCAGUAAAUAGUACAAGAGAAAAGUGAAAGAUAUAAGUUUGAAAAGGAAGAACUAUCAUUGUUUACAAGAUGACCUGAUUUUGUAGAAAAAUCCACAAGUAUAUCGUUAGAAUUAAUCAGUGAGUUUCGUAAGGUUGCUAGUAUUGAUAUUAAAAUGUAUUUCUACAUACUAGUAUAAACUAUAGCCAGCCCCAGUGGUCUAGUGGUUAAAAUUUGGGACUCACUGUCACAGCCUGGGUUCGUUUCCUGGUCAGAGAACCACACCACCUGUCUGUCGCUUGUCAUAUUGUGGCCACAUUUGCUGUGAUGUGGAAAGCUAUGCAACCGGUAUUUCAAAUACCAGCAGGGUCACCCGUGGUGGACACGUUUCAACAGAGCUUCCAGACUAUGACAGACUAGGAAGAAGGACCUGGCCACCCCUUCCGAAAAAACUGGCCACGAAACCCGUGUGAACAGCAGGAGGACACUGUCUGAUACAGCACCAGAAGAUGAGAGGAUGGUGCACAAGACGGGGCUGGGUUCAGGUCUGCUGUACACACAUCCCUAGGAUUCGGAAUUGACUUGAUGACAUUAACAACAAAAAAAGUAUCUACUAUAUAAAGCAAAUACUCAGGUAGAAUAUAAAAAGUUUAAGACGAUACCUUACAACAGUGUCAAAAUAUUGAAUACGUAGGAAUUAAUCUAAUGAAAUGUGUGCCAGACCUCUAUGCAAAACUAAACAUUAUUGAAAGAAAGAAAGGAAAAUCUAAGUAAAUGGGAGUACACCAUGUGUGGCAGACAUAGAAAUGUCAGCUAGCAGCCCUUCAAGAAAGAACUUUCUGCUCAGCCAUGCAGACGUGGUCUGCACACAGCCAGCUCCUUCAGGAUCUGCCUUAGCCGUGAUCUGCCUUGCCUGAGGCUCCCAGAACAGCAUACAUACAGUGACUGAGGGAUACAGGGACAUAAAAGCCUGGCCAUUUUGACCCAAUGCAGGACACUUCAAAACCCUUGAGACUGAGGGCAACUCCCUGCCACGUUGACCGAAGCUUGUAGGGCUGGUACUCCCUCUGCCCAGUCUUGCUGCCUCCCUUUCCUUCCACAAAUGUGGAUCCCUAAUAAACAUCUUGCGACUUAAACUCUGUCUCUGCCUCUGCUUCUGAAGAACCUAACCUAUGAGAGCUGAUACCAGGAGUGGUCUGAGAAAGCAGGUGAUAAGAUGGAGUUUAGAAUCAG